UUGCCUUAGUAACGGCGAGUGAAGCGGCAACAGCUCAAAUUUGAAAGCUGGUCCUUUCAGGGCCCGCGUUGUAAUUUGUAGAGGAUGAUUCGGCGAGGGCUCCCGCCUAAGUCCCCUGGAACGGGGCGUCAUAGAGGGUGAGAAUCCCGUAUGCGGUGGGCUGCCUUAGCCAUGUGAAUCUCCUUCGACGAGUCGAGUUGUUUGGGAAUGCAGCUCUAAAUGGGAGGUAAAUUUCUUCUAAAGCUAAAUACCGGCCAGAGACCGAUAGCGCACAAGUAGAGUGAUCGAAAGAUGAAAAGCACUUUGGAAAGAGAGUUAAAAAGUACGUGAAAUUGUUGAAAGGGAAGCGCUUGCAACCAGACUUGUCCGCAGUUGCUCAGCCGGUCUCCUGACCGGCGUACUCUUCUGCGGCCAGGCCAGCAUCAGUUCGGGCGGUCGGAUAAAGGCCUCGGGAAUGUAGCUCCUCUCGGGGAGUGUUAUAGCCCGGGGCGGAAUGCGGCCAGCCUGGACUGAGGAUCUCGCUUCGGCUAGGAUGCUGGCGUAAUGGUUGUAAGCGGCCCGUCUUGAAACACGGACCAAGGAGUCUAACAUCUAUGCGAGUGUUUGGGUGUCAAACCCAUACGCGUAAUGAAAGUGAACGGAGGUGGGAACCCUCACGGGUGCACCAUCGGCCGAUCCUGAUGUCUUCGGAUGGAUUUGAGCAAGAGCAUAGCUGUUGGGACCCGAAAGAUGGUGAACUAUGCCUGAAUAGGGUGAAGCCAGAGGAAACUCUGGUGGAGGCUCGCAGCGGUUCUGACGUGCAAAUCGAUCGUCAAAUUUGGGUAUAGGG
rnacentral:rRNA from 1 species